AUGGCGGUAGGCAACGGCGGCGCCAAGAAAGUGGUGGCGCCCAUGGAGGUGUCCGUGGAGGCCGGGAACGCCGGGGACGCGGCGUGGAUGGACGACGACGGCCGGCCCCGCCGCUCCGGCACGUUCUGGACGGCGAGUGCGCACAUCAUCACCGCCGUCAUCGGCUCCGGCGUGCUCUCGCUGGCCUGGGCCAUCGCGCAGCUCGGUUGGGUGGCUGGCCCAGCUGUCAUGCUCCUCUUCGCCGCCGUCAUCUACUACACCUCCACCCUGCUCGCCGAGUGCUACCGCACGGGUGAUCCGGCCACCGGGAAGCGCAACUACACCUACAUGGACGCCGUCCGCUCCAACCUCGGCGGUCCCAAGGUCAUCUUCUGCGGUGUCAUCCAGUACGCCAAUCUCGUCGGCGUCGCCAUUGGCUACACCAUCGCCUCCUCCAUCAGCAUGCGGGCCAUCAGGAGGGCCGACUGUUUCCACGCCAACGGACACGCGGACCCGUGCAAGAGCUCCAGCAACCCAUACAUGAUCCUCUUCGGCCUCGUGCAGAUCGUCUUCUCGCAGAUCCCCGACUUCGAUCAGAUAUGGUGGCUGUCCAUCGUCGCCGCAGUCAUGUCCUUCACCUACUCCGGCAUUGGACUCUCCCUCGGCAUCACCCAGACCAUAUCCAAUGGUGGAAUCAAGGGCAGCCUCACCGGCAUCAGCAUCGGCGUCGGUAUCACGGCCACACAGAAGGUGUGGCGCAGCCUGCAGGCAUUUGGCGACAUCGCCUUCGCCUACUCCUUCUCCAACAUCCUCAUAGAAAUCCAAGACACGAUCAGGGCGCCGCCGCCGUCUGAGGCGAAGGUGAUGAAGCAGGCGACGCGGCUGAGCGUGGCGACGACGACGGUGUUCUACAUGCUGUGCGGGUGCAUGGGGUACGCGGCGUUCGGUGACGCAGCCCCCGACAACCUCCUCACCGGGUUCGGAUUCUACGAGCCCUUCUGGCUGCUGGACAUCGCCAACGUGGCCAUCGUCGUGCACCUCGUCGGCGCCUACCAGGUCUUCUGCCAGCCCAUCUUCGCCUUCGUCGAGCGCUGGGCCGCGUCCACAUGGCCAGACAGCGUCUUCAUCUCCCGCGAGUUCCGGGUGGGGCCAUUCGCGCUCAGCGUGUUCCGGCUGACGUGGCGGUCGGCCUUCGUCUGCCUCACCACCGUCUUCGCCAUGCUGCUCCCGUUCUUCGGCAACGUGGUGGGACUCCUCGGCGCCGUCUCCUUCUGGCCGCUCACCGUCUACUUCCCCGUCGAGAUGUACAUCAGGCAGCGCGGCGUGCCCGGCCGGAGCAUGCAGGGGAUCUGCCUUAGGAUGCUCAGCGUCGGAUGCCUCAUCGUUUCCAUCGCCGCCGCGGCGGGCUCCAUCGCCAACGUCAUCGAAGCUCUCAAAGUGUACAAGCCGUUCAGCGGCUGA
rnacentral:rRNA from 1 species